rnacentral:rRNA from 1 species
CAAAACCCGGUCUCAGUUCAGAUUGCAGGCUGCAACUCGCCUGCAUGAAGGUGGAAUUGCUAGUAAUCGCGAAUCAGAAUGUCGCGGUGAAUACGUUCCCGGGCCUUGUACACACCGCCCGUCACACCAUGAGAAGUCGGGAACACCCGAAGUCCGUAGUCUAACCGCAAGGGGGACGCGGCCGAAGGUGGGUUCGAUAAUUGGGGUGAAGUCGUAACAAGGUACC